rnacentral:rRNA from 1 species
CUAAUACCGCAUACGAUCUACGGAUGAAAGCGGGGGACCUUAGGGCCUCGCGCUAUUAGAGCGGCCGAUAGCUGAUUAGCUAGUUGGUGGGGUAAAGGCCUACCAAGGCGAUGAUCAGUAGCUGGUCUGAGAGGACGAUCAGCCACACUGGGACUGAGAACGGCCCAGACUCCUACGGGAGGCAGCAGUGGGGAAUUUUGGACAAUGGGGGCAACCCUGAUCCAGCAAUGCCGCGUGAGUGAAGAAGGCCUUCGGGUUGUAAAGCUCUUUUGUUAGGGAAGAAAAGGCGAAGGUUAAUACCCUUUGCUGCUGACGGUACCUAAAGAAUAAGCACCGGCUAACUACGUGCCAGCAGCCGCGGUAAUACGUAGGGUGCAAGCGUUAAUCGGAAUUACUGGGCGUAAAGCGUACGCAGGCGGUUAUGUAAGACAGAUGUGAAAUGCCCGGGCUCAACCUGGGAAUGGCAUUUGUGACUGCAUAGCUAGAGUGUGUCAGAGGGGGGUAGAAUUCCACGUGUAGCAGUGAAAUGCGUAGAUAUGUGGAGGAAUACCGAUGGCGAA